CAGUAGCCGCGGGAAUACAGAGGGUGCGAGCGUUAAUCGGAUUUACUGGGCGUAAAGCGUGCGUAGGCGGCUAAUUGAGUCGGAUGUGAAAUCCCCGAGCUUAACUUAGGAAUUGCAUUCGAUACUGGGAAGCUAGAGUAUGGGAGAGGAUGGUAGAAUUCCAGGUGUAGCGGUGAAAUGCGUAGAGAUCUGGAGGAAUACCGAUGGCGAAGGCAGCCAUCUGGCCUAAUACUGACGCUGAGGUACGAAAGCAUGGGGAGCAAACAGGAUUAGAGACCCCUGUAGUCCCUGUCUCUUAUAC
rnacentral:rRNA from 1 species